rnacentral:rRNA from 1 species
UACGUAGGUGACAAGCGUUGUCCGGAUUUACUGGGCGUAAAGAGCGCGCAGGCGGUCGUUCAAGUCGAGUGUGAAAGCCCCCGGCUCAACUGGGGAGGGUCACUCGAUACUGAUCGACUCGAAGGCAGGAGAGGGAAGUGGAAUUCCCGGUGUAGUGGUGAAAUGCGUAGAUAUCGGGAGGAACACUAGUGGCGAAGGCGACUUCCUGGCCUGUUCUUGACGCUGAGGCGCGAAAGCUAGGGGAGCAACGGGGAUUAA